GAUGAACGCUGGCGGCGUGCUUAACACAUGCAAGUCGAACGGAAAGGCCUCUGCUUGCAGGGGUACUCGAGUGGCGAACGGGUGAGUAACACGUGGGUGAUCUGCCCUGCACUUCGGGAUAAGCCUGGGAAACUGGGUCUAAUACCGGAUAGGACAAUGGUUUGGAUGCUGUUGUGGAAAGUUUUUCGGUGUGGGAUGAGCUCGCGGCCUAUCAGCUUGUUGGUGGGGUAAUGGCCUACCAAGGCGUCGACGGGUAGCCGGCCUGAGAGGGUGUACGGCCACAUUGGGCCUGAGAUACGGCCCAGACUCCUGCGGGAGGCAGCAGUGGGGAAUAUUGCACAAUGGGCGCAAGCCUGAUGCAGCGACGCCGCGUGGGGGAUGACGGCCUUCGGGUUGUAAACUCCUUUCGCUAGGGACGAAGCGUUUUUGUGACGGUACCUGGAGAAGAAGCACCGGCUAACUACGUG
rnacentral:rRNA from 1 species